GCUGGGCGUGGUGGCGCUUGCCUGUGGUUCCAGCUACUCAGGAGGCUGAGGUGGGAGGAUUGCUUGAGACCAGGAGGUCAGGACUGCAGUGAGCUGUGAACAUGUCACUGCACUCCAGCCUGGGCAACAGAGCAAGACUCUGUCUUUA
rfam:Homo sapiens chromosome 2, GRCh38 reference primary assembly.